UGUUCUUAACAGGAUUGCAGAAGAGCAACACUCGUGCCAGCAUUCUCACUUCUUAGAUAGCUUUUUCUUACUUUGUGCUUUCCGCUGGGGCUUAAUAGUCACACUUCUGGUUCUUCGCCCUACGUUCUGCAACAAAUUUAUAGUGUUUGGGUUGCACGGAAGCCACCGGUUAUGCUUUUGUUGAAUUUGAUGACUGUAGAGAUGCUUUAGAUGCGAUCAAAGAUUUGGAUGGGAAGAAUGGUUGGCGGGUUGAGCUUUCUCAUAACUCUAAGGGUAGUGGUGGAGGUAGGGAUGGUGGUGGGCGUGGUGGCAGGGAUGGUGGUCGAGGACGCGGUGUUGGUGUGCCAUGACAUAAGUGGAGGACAAGAAGCCAGUCUGAUUCCUGUCACCAAUUUAAUUGAUCCUCCUCUUCCACCUA